AAACAUGUCAUGUAUUCAGUUCACUGAGAGUAAGCAUGAAUAUACGAAUUGUAAUUCUAAAAUAUCUAGAGGCAUUUAUGCAUUCACACGUAUAUUAUAAACAUUCUUUUUUUUCCGCACAUGUCAAUGAAUAUAUAAUGCUCCCAUUAAACGAAAUAUAUUAAAUAACAAUUGUCUAGGAAUUAUUUAUGCUGACGUUUGACCACCAGGGGUAUUGUUUAUGCUAAAGAGAAAGUGAUAAAACAAAGCUAAAGUGCGAUUCCAAUGGUCUCUGCCUCCACGUAUAAUAUGUGUCAUGACGAAACUCUUAUUUUACAGCAUAGCCGUACUUAUACGAUGGACUGUUAUUUUAUCAUUAAUCAACGACAGCAGCAGCGAAAGAAACCGCACGGAUGGUAGCCCAAAGCCAGCCAUUCGUCAAUGUGAGAGGAUCUCAGGGCAGGAGCUCUCAGGCGUGUAGAGCUUGGUGGUGGACGGAGCCAAAGCCAAGCCAAGUCCCAAGGGUGAGGCGAGGAAGCGGACGAGACGACCGCGUGGGGGGGAGGGGGAGGUCCCCGCAUAAAGGCCGCCAGCACUGGGGGACAAGUUGUUGUCUUCCUUCCACUCCACAGUGCACAGCGCGCGGGGAGGGAGGGAGGGAGGAGCCGAGGAGGAGACGCCGAUCACCUGCUGCCCGCUGCUAGCUGCCUGGCUGCGGCUCCACUCCUCCCUCCCUAGCUUUUAGCGCGGGCUCCUCCUCCCCUCCAAUCCCUGCGCGGUCUAGGCCGCCCCGCGGGCAGUCGUCGCCACGCCACGUCGCGCCAUCCCUGAUCCUGAUCCAGUGAUCCCUCCCUCUCCUCGGCCUGAGCUCGCCUUGUACCCUAGCGGAGCCGGAGGAGAAGCCAGCAGCCCGUCUCGUCUCCUCCCCCAAUUAUAUGAGAGAGAGAGAGAGAGAGAGAGAGAGAGAGAGAAGGCGUGCGUGCGUGCGAGGUGAAAUCGUGAAAGGGAUCGAAGGGUGAAACCGACCCGUGGAUGGGUCGCUCGGCUCCGGAGCCUCUCUUGCUUGGUUUGGUUCUCGGACGGAUCCAGCGCGCACAGUGACUCACGCGCCGGGCCCUGCCACGUGCCGACAAAAGUGCUUCUUCUCGUGUAGAAUUUCAG
rnacentral:lncRNA from 1 species